rnacentral:lncRNA from 1 species
AUCACAUAGCUAAAAUCCUAGUGGUUAAGAUUCUGCACUCUCAUUUCCACAGCCCAGGCUCAUUUCUGGUCAGGGAACCACACCACCCAUCCAUCAGUUGUCAUACUGUCAUGGCUGCCUGUUGCCAUGAUGCUGAGAGCUGUGCCACCAGUACUUCAAAUACCACUAGGGUCACCCAUGGUGGACAAGUUUCAGCAGAGCUUCCAGAUGAAGACAAACCAGGAAGAAGGACCUCGCCACCUACUUCUGAAAAAUUUACCGUGAAAACCCUAUGAAUAGCCGUGGAGGAUUGUCUGAUACAGCGCCGGAAGAUACCUCAAUAAAGUGAGAGAAGUGGGCUUUUCAUAUGACUUGUGUUGACAAGAACAAUAAUAUUUUGGAACUGCAGUGCAGAUGUAGAAAUUGACUGACUCAGCCCAAGAAAGCUGAAUCCUAAACUGGUAGAAGGUAAAGCUGAGUGAGUUGGUCAUACAGUCCCCAAAAGGCCCAGGAAUUAGUGACAUUCAGGAUCUCUGUAAGUAUUGGAUAAAAGAGGAUUGUUUUAAAAUCUGAUUAAAGAUAACUUGGAACCACAGAUCCCCUCUUCACUUUGAGAACCUAGUUGAUGACCCCUCUCUCACCCUGGCAGAAAACUGGAGAUUUUCUGGAGACCAUAAAACAUACUGUACCUGGGCUGAAGACAGAAAUCAUGGUUGAAGUUGGACCACACUGAAAACAGGAGGCCGAAGUGGAAGUUUAUAUGUCUUUGGGAGCUAGAACUCAAGAAGGUUUGGAUGCUAUUUUACACCUCUAUUUGGAAAACAAAGACAGAUUUUUAUGAAGAGACAACAAGCAACGCCAGGAGAAGAAACGUACCCAAUACUAUAAAAGAACAGCAAGUUUGCUAAGAAAGUUGAGGAAGAAGAAAUGAGUUUUGAAGGAUAAUCCUUUUCUAAAUAAAGAGCACAAAUGAAAGGAUGAUUGAAUUGCAGCCCUAAAGAUAGAAACCUCUAGAGAGAUUAAAG